UCUCCGUUGGUGAACCAGCGGAGGGAUCAUUACAGGACUCGCAAGACUCCCGUAAACCACUGUGAACCUACCUAUUGUUGCCUCGGCGGGUCAGGCUGAUGCUUGGGAUGGCUACUUUGUAGCUACCCUGCAGAGGCCGCCGCCGGUGGGAUUUUAAACUAUUGUCAUGUAUUGUCAUCUGAGAGCCUUAUGAAAAUAAGUCAAAACCUUUAACAACGGAUCUCUUGGUUCUGGCAUCGAUGAAGAACGCAGC
rnacentral:misc_RNA from 1 species